UUCUGACUCAGCCCACUUGCACCCAAGCGAAAUAAAAAGUUUUAUUGCUCACGCAAAGCCUGUUAGGAGGUCUCUUCACAUGGAAGCGCGUGACAGGCACAUGUUCUCAGGGUCUCCUGGGGGCUGCGUCAUGGGCCAUGGUCAUUCGUGUUUGGCUCAGAAUAAAUCUCUUAAAAUAUUUUACAGAGUUUGGGCCAGGCGCGGUGGCUCAUGCCUGUCAUUCCAGCACUUUGAGAGACUGAGGCGGGUGGAUCAUCUGAGGUCGGGAGCUCGAGACCAGCCUGACCAACACUGUGAAACCCCGUCUCUACUAAAAAUACAAAAAUUAGCCGGGCGUGGUGGUGUGCACCUGUAAUCCCAGCUACUCGGGAGCCUGAGGCAGGAGAAUCGCUUGAACCCAGGAGGCAGAGGUUGCAGUGAGCCGAGAUCGCACCGCUGCCUCCAGCCUGGGCGACAGAGAGAGACUCCGUCUCAAAAAAAAAACAAAAAACACUUCAAUGUCAUUUGUUUCAAAUCUCCCCUCAAGGCUGCCCAGAAAGCUAAGCGAGGGAGAUGGGGAGGUGAGCAAGGAGGGUGGUUUACUUUCUCACACUCUCUUGCUCUGUGCUUAUUCUUUCGGUGUUGAGUUUGGGACAAGGACGAGGAAAUCCGAUGGGACUGCCCAUGUCAGCCUUGAUGGUGUUUUGGAGUCAAGGAAAGCUGGAGAACGAGGAAUGACAGCUCCAAGGAGAGGGACCCUCCCGGUUCUGCUGGAAUUCCAGCUGCAGCUCCCAGCCCCUGCCAUCCUAACCCUG
rnacentral:lncRNA from 10 species